UGGCAGGUACAGCGGGAAGCCACCUGGCGACAGGGAGCGGAACCCGAAAGCCUGUCUCAGUUCGGAUUGGAGUCUGCAACCCGACUCCAUGAAGCUGGAUUCGCUAGUAAUCGCGCAUCAGCCACGGCGCGGUGAAUACGUUCCCGGGCCUUGUACACACCGCCCGUCAAGCCAUGGAAGCCGGGGGUGCCUGAAGUGCGCUGCCGCAAGGAGCGCCCUAGGGUAAAACCGGUGACUGGGGCUAAGUCGUAACAAGGUAAC
rnacentral:rRNA from 1 species